rnacentral:rRNA from 1 species
ACGAACGCUGGCGGCGUGCUUAACACAUGCAAGUCGAACGGUGAAGCUCCAGCUUGCUGGAGUGGAUCAGUGGCGAACGGGUGAGUAACACGUGAGCAACCUGCCCCUGACUCUGGAAUAAGCGCUGGAAACGGCGCCUAAUACUGGAUACGAGAAGGGUCCGCAUGGGCACUUUCUGGAAAGUUUUUCGGUUGGGGAUGGGCUCGCGGCCUAUCAGCUUGUUGGUGAGGUAAUGGCUCACCAAGGCGACGACGGGUAGCCGGCCUGAGAGGGCGACCGGCCACACUGGGACUGAGACACGGCCCAGACUCCUACGGGAGGCAGCAGUGGGGAAUAUUGCACAAUGGGCGAAAGCCUGAUGCAGCGACGCCGCGUGAGGGAUGACGGCCUUCGGGUUGUAAACCUCUUUCAGCAGGGAAGAAGCGAAAGUGACGGUACCUGCAGAAGAAGCACCGGCUAACUACGUG